UGGGGAAUCUUGCUCAAUGGGCGAAAGCCUGAAGCAGCGACGCCGCGUGUGGGAAGAAGGCCUUCGGGUUGUAAACCACUUUCGGGAGGGAAGAAGCGAAAGUGACGGUACCUCCAAAAGAAGCCCCGGCCAACUACGUGCCAGCAGCCGCGGUAAUACGUAGGGGGCGAGCGUUGUCCGGAAUUAUUGGGCGUAAAGAGCUCGUAGGCGGCCCGUUAAGUCGGAUGUGAAAUCUCACGGCUCAACCGUGAAACUGCAUUCGAUACUGGCGGGCUUGAGGCAGGUAGGGGAAGGUGGAAUUCCUGGUGUAGCGGUGAAAUGCGCAGAUAUCAGGAGGAACACCGGUGGCGAAGGCGGCCUUCUGGGCCUGUUCUGACGCUGAGGAGCGAAAGCGUGGGGAGCAAACAGGAUUAGAUACCCGCGUAGUCC
rnacentral:rRNA from 1 species